rnacentral:misc_RNA from 1 species
AACGAGGCCGACCUGCGGCUGAGUUACCUGCGGAGGGAUCAUUACCAAGGUUGAAUAUAAUACUAUUCACCCCAUUGUGUGCACUCAUUUGAACUGUUUGGAAAAGAAAAAGAAAUUUUUUUUUCCAAACGGUUCCAACCAAUUUUCUUCCAUCGCUUUACUGUCUUUGUCUGACCGAUACUUUCAUAUAACUUUCAAAUACAACUUUCAACAACGGAUCU